GCCUUCCAAGCUCAGAAGGUAGAGCGCUCGGUUGAAGCCCGAGAGGUUGCCCGUUCGAUCCGGGCGGAAGGCAC
rnacentral:tRNA from 1 species